GCGUUGACCGGCGGGUUGCGGAGCCGGAUGACGGCCACGGCCGCGGCACCCCUCGCGUACUGCGCCAUGCCGAGCGCUGCCUCUCUCCCCGCGUCUCUGCCCAGCGCCCGGCUCGCAGAGCAGCCUGCCCAGGCGGGGCGGGGCGGAACGGGACGGGGCACGGUACGGCACAAGGCUUGGUGACUGUCAGUGCAGCGUGCCCGCGCUCCGUGCGGUUGAAUAUAAACCAGCCAUCAGGAGGGCUGGUCCUGCUGCAGUCUCUGCCGGACGCUAAAAAGCGGGGAAAGGUCCUCCUGAGGGAAGAGAGUUCCAGGCAGGUCAGGGAGCAGCCUGCCUAUCUAAAGAGAGGCUGAGGGAAGGAAGGGGACGGACUCGUUAGCGGGAUCUGUUGUGAUAGGACAAGGGGAAAAGGGUUUCAAACUAAAAGACGGGAGAUUUAUGUUGGAUAUAAGGAAAAAGUCUCGUGCAAUAAGGGUAGUGAAGGCUGGCCCAGGUUCUCGGGGGGCUGGUGGAUGCACUUGGUACAAAGAGAACAUCCCGAGUUCCACAAGGACCGUCUGUUGUUGGUGUGGCUAAUCUUGUCUUUUAGGAGCAUCUUGAACAUCAGCAUGUCUGCCAGAAGGGAGAUUGUAAACUGUUGUUUAAAAAAAGGUGCAUGAAUGGGAGAGGUGGUUGAGGUCUCAUGAGUGCUGGAGACCUCUCUCCAAGCACGUAGAAGUACUGUACCCAAAUGUAUUAUAAGGGAUGGCGUGGUGAGCUGUCUGGAGCACAGGUCUUAUAAGGAGAGGCUGAUGGAAGUGGAAUGGUUCAGUCCAGAGAGGAGGAGGCUCAGGGAGAUCUUCUUGCUCCCUAUGGUUCCCUGAGUUGAGGUUGUGGUGAGGUGGAGGUUGGCCUCUUCUUCCUCACAACUAAGGCUAAAGGGAAUGUCCUCGAGUUACACCAGAUUGACUUACAGCAUCAGUUUGGCACCCCAGAUGGGGUAAGCCUCGACAGUUCCUGAGUUCACAGAAUAUCAUCUGGCACUGAAGUAUUCUAGGGAGGGCCUUGAUCCCCAGGCUGAAGAGCUCUCCUGACAAGACCACUGAUUACUUUUGAGAAAUUCAGCAAGAACUUGUAUAGUAUCUAGAGCUUCCAAGGAGCAGGUUCUUGCCUCCAGAUUUCCUGGCAGCAUACACCUCCAUGAAAAACAGCUGUUGACUAUCAAACCAGGAGACGUGGUGACAGCUUUCUUAGCCCUAGGCCUGCCAAAAGAAGACAUACCUUGCUAAUAAAUCUAGAGAGAAAUUAAGCUAAUACAAUGUCUAAAACAGCUCAUGUGUUGUUCAUCCUCUGCAAGGGGACAGUCCUGAUCUUAUCUGUCUCUGCAACAGCCAGUGCCAUUUCAGAAGAACCUGCAAUUAUGUGUAAAGAAGACUGAGUAACCAAAGCUUGCUUUUGGCAGGAGAAGGAUGCACUGAGAUAGUUGCAGACCUUCCUGUAAGUGUUAUUACAUUUUGUCAUCCAUUUGAUUACUGUCUUUUGACUACGUGGUAGGGGAUGAUGCUCAGAAAAUACACCAUGUACUUGUUGCAAUUCUGGAGAAAUAAAAAGCUGCUCCAAAGAAGAAUGCCAAUGCCUUAGAGACCCCAUUACUAGAAAUGGAAAUAAGGGAUCUUCAUCAAAGGACAGAUUGAAAUGAAUAUGAAUGUUGUGCUCCGUCUGCCAGCCCCUCAGCAUUUGCUGUGGUAGAAGGAAGAGAAUCCUGCUUCCUCUUGAGCUGGAGCACCACAGAUCUGGCAAUUCUGCAGCCUCCUGGGACCAACAGCCUGCUGAAUGCUGAAGUGCUGAAUGAUACAAACAAAUGCUUUGCAGGAGGCUCAUGUUAAUAUUUAUUCCAGCAUACUUGUGAACAUUGGUACUUCAGAGGACAUGGCUUCAUUUGCUAUAGACAUGGAACAAAAAUCACUGAAAAGUGCUUAUUAGCCUGGUUGGUCAAAACUUCAAUUUCUGAGCCCAAAUGCAUUUGAAAAGUAAUGUAGUGCCAGCUGUAAGGAGCAGUGAAUUUCUGCUGAAACUACUUCUGAGGAACAUGGAAACUGCACUGUACAAGCUCGUGUGUUGUGGUAAAACUGCUCCACUGAGGAGGGCAGGAGCUCUGAAAAUGUCUUGACAGCAGCUGAUCUAAACAACAAGAUCUAAAUCCACACGUACUGCUGCUGAAAUGGCUCAGAGGGCCUGCUGAAUUCAUCAGCCACUGCUUCCUGUGAUCUUCUGUCUGGUACGCUGUCCUCUGCUCCUGGCUAGCACUUCUACCUGUGGUAAAAACAAUACUUGUUAGCAUCUGAUCAUCAAACGGUUUUCAAAGGCUCCUUUGGCCGAGUGCACCUUGAUGUGACCUUUUCUGCUGACCGUAAGGUCCUUCUGUAAACUGUUUCCUAGAAGAGAUCUGGAGCUCAGAGCCUGGGGCUGGUACAUGGAGCUCUUUGAAAGGCACAGCUGGAGCAGGGCAGGGGUGGGAACUACAUGUAUACCGCAAGAUACUGAGGGCUGUAAAACACUCUAUCCUACAGUUUAAAUUUCACUCUUUGACUGUACAGAGCUGAGUGUCUGUCCAGUGGGUCCCUGCUACUGCGUGCCCUUCCAGAUGAGCAGCUUCUUCCUUCCGGACUGUGCCUGUGCAGUGUGGACAGCCCAGGACAGCACAGCUCAUUGUCUUACAGAGGCUUUACUCUGCCCCAUGGCUUCCUGAAUCCAAAGCUUCACAAUGCAUCAAAGCUGUAAUAUGUAAUAUUUUUUAACAGUAAAGCCUGCAAAAAAAAAAGAAAAAAAAAAAAAAAAAAGCCAUUCACAUUUCCACAUGCACACACCUGCUGUAACAUAUUUGUUAGCAACAUACAAAGCUACAGAAUUUUCUUUCAGGUUGGUGCUCCGGUCAGCAUUUAUUUCCCUCUGUACUGCUCUGCCCAUACAAACCAUUUUAGAAUUUUACUUGUCUUAAAUAAAAAUCAUCGUUUCA